rnacentral:rRNA from 1 species
CGUGGAGAACCUGCCGUAUACUGGGGGAUAACACUUAGAAAUAGGUGCUAAUACCGCAUAAGCGCACAGCUUCGCAUGUAGCAGUGUGGAAAACAAAAAGCUAAAGCUUUUGGUGGUAUACGAUGGAUCCGCGUCUGAUUAGCUAGUUGGCGGGGUAAAGGCCCACCAAGGCGACGAUCAGUAGCCGGCCUGAGAGGGUGAACGGCCACAUUGGGACUGAGACACGGCCCAAACUCCUACGGAAGGCAGCAG